AUCUUUGGUUUACUUUGCAAGCUAAUAUCUAUUAGCAGCAACUAGGUGGCCUAUGGAGUGCUAAAUCUGGAAUCAGGAAGAUAUGAGUUUAAAUCCCACCUCAGACAUAUACUAUCUGUAUUAAGGAAGAGCAAUGACUGCAUUUUGAUUGACAGAGACAUGUGACACAGAAUCACAUAGGACCCUGGGUCAAGAUUCCAAGCAAGGAGGUUGGGGGAAGUUUUUGUCCCAACUGCCAAAAGUCAUUCUUUCUGGAGCAGAAGUAGGAGCAGGAAGUUUAGCUGGUAGCUGAAAUUUCAGCCAUACAAAGAUACAACUGGCCCUGGAAGACAUCAGCUGUGGUGAGACUACUUCAGUCAGACUGCAGUCUUUGGCAGAUUCUCAGUGGUAUAAGUAAAGCCAGAAGGACUCUCCAUGCUGAAGGACACUCCAUGUGCCACCACACCCGCUAUGCACUCUAUCUCUUAACAUGGAGGGACCACAAGGGAGAUGUUAGAGACCUGCUUCUGUGAGAAGAAAUUCUGCAUUUUCCCACCACUUGGUUCACAGCAUCUUUCUCCUGGCUUCAUAAAUUCCAUUGUUGGGGGCUUGAAUCAAAGUCGGAGAGCCUAGGCACCUCCAAACCCACUUAUGAGUACUAGAGAACCCUGAGGUAGGGGCAAAAUAUAAAACACCUGAUCUUCAAGGAGCAGGGCAGGCAGGAUAUGCUCAAAAGCAGUAAUGAAGUCUCUGUCUCUCUAAGUACACAUACAUUUAUAAAUAGUAUAAAAAACUCUUUAGUUGCAAGAGACAAGCAAAAUUCUAGUUUUCAAUUCUUUUAAAGGUCUCUAGUUUGCAGCCAGGAGAUGUAUAUAUGCUAAGAAGUUGCUUCAAUUUCAGUUGAAAUACUAUCCAAAUUUAAAUUUCUUUUGGACCUCAUAUAUUGACAAUUUUCUCAACUUAGUUAUGUUUUUACAUUGAUUUCUAUUGAUACUCUCUUUGAAGAUAUUCAUAUGCACAGCCAACAAGAAGAUCCAGGAGAUGAUAUAUUCUCUUCCUUUUCCAGCCAUUAGCUCUUACAUAUGAUAAGGAACCAGGUUCCCCAUCAUUUUCUGCAUAGAAUAUAAGAAUUGUAUACAUGCCACAUACUCCAUAAUUAAAAUCUGGCCAAUAACCAUAUUCUUCUAAAAAAAAAUACAAACUGAUUUAAAAAGCCACACCACAUAAUACAUUUGCAUUAAUUUUCUCCAACAUCCAAUUAUACUCAAUAUCCAUUAGUCUUUCAACUGUCUGGAAAUAAUAGCAUCAAUGACUAGGUAUUUAAAAGGUGAAUAGCUAAAAUAUCCAUUUUUAAAACUUUAAUAAGAGCAAGUCUCAAAAUCAUAGAGAUAUCUAUGCUUCCCAUAGCAACAGGGUAAGGAAGGGAGGCUAUUCUCUUCAUUUUCAAAGGAUGGGAGUUCUGCCAAAAGAAUUCAAUGAACAGAAAGUUAUUUUCUGUGGAAUUUUCAAAAUGAAAUAAAGUCACUGAUUUUACAAAAGUAACAAACAUUUAUAAGUUGUUUUCAUGAAGCAUUUAAAAACUGCAUGAAUUUUUCUUAUGGUACUCUGACACAUACAAAUAGUCCCUAUCACCUAAUUGUCUUCAGAAGGAAUGCCCAGGAAAAGGUUUUAUUUUUAAAAUUUCUAUAUAAAUUUAAAUGAUGGAUUAUAUACUCAAUGGCAUAUCUAAUAGUUAAUCAAAAGGUCCAUAAUUGACAUACAGAAACAUUAGGAACUGACAAAUAGCCAACUUGAAAUGAUAAUAGAAAAAAACUUUAAAUUCUAUUAAGAUCAAAAUCUGUUCAUCCCAAUAUGCCUCUUCAAAGCACUCCUUUAUACUCCUGAACUCUUUCCCACCCAUCCUGUUUCUUCUGUUUUUCUCCCAUGGUCCACUACAAAUGCUUAAUCUAUGCUCUUUCCUUCUCACUACUCACUAGUGGAGUUCUAGGAGUUCAAUAUAACAAUGCUCUCCCCAUGAGCACAGGUAUAACUUGAACUUGAUUAAUUAUUUUGUUGAUUAUCUAGACUUAAGAAAAUGUCAGUAAUAUAAAUUAAAGUUAAAAGUUUGUUGGCGACACAUUUCCCCCAGAGACAGUUGUCAAACCUAUUUGCAGCACACUCCCACUCUUCUCCUAAAACUGGGCCCAAAAUCAAUUUACAAUGGAUAAAGAGAACUUCAUCAAAAUUGAACUUUGGAAGAGAAAUUUCCAAAUUGGAUUUGAAUAAACACAAGCACAGAAGUUGUACCCUAGCAACUUCUCUGAAUCUUAUAGUCAAAGAAUUACCUAAAUCAUGUGGUUUUGCUUUCUUUCUCUAGCACUUAGCAUAAUGACUGGCACAUCAUAAGGACUUAAUAAAUGCUCAUUGAGCUAUUAGCAAAUGCAAACAUAUAUAUGUAUGCAUGCAGGUGUAUCUUUGUAUUAUGUACUAUAUUCAUGUAUAUUUUGGUGCACAUGUAUGUAUGAAUUGUACAUAUUUUUGUAUGUGUAAGUAUGUAUGCAAUAUGGAUAUGUAUUGUGCAUAUGUAUAUGAGAGGUGAGCUGCACAUCUGAAAAAUGCCUUCUCUGGGACCCCAGGCAAGUUACUUAAUCUCUCAAAGUCCAAAGCAACUCAGAGACUUUGAAACUGCAUCAAAGUUUCUGGCCUACUUUGGUAGAGAGUUUCUUUACCCAACAAUUUCCCACAUCAGGGAAAUCACAGGUCCAGGCCCUACUCCUAGAUAUGUGUAAAUAAUAAACUAUAAUAACACAAAUAUCAAUGAUAAAAAUAGAAAUUGCUAACGUUUAUAUAGCUCUUCUUUGUGAAUAUAGGUGAGAAAGAUUUUUGCUUAAUACAAGGUUAGAGUUUGUCCUCUACCCCAAUCAAUCAUUCAAUCAAUGAACAUAAAGGAGUUUUAAAUGGGUAAGUAAGACAGUUUGUAGUCAGUGUCCUCUCUUCAACCUGUGAAUUUCUUUGAUUGGAUCCUAAAAGAAACUGAUCCAAUUGGCUUAGAUAAUAAGUAAUGCCCUCUGAGCCUAUUCUGAGCCUUAGUCAGAUAAAUCUAACCAAGCAAUAAAAAAAUUCAGUGCUAGAGUUUAGGAUUUCAGUUCAAUUAAGUUCUGAGAAGGAACUAAUCUUAGAGAGGUCAAAGUUUCUUUCUCUCCUCCUUUACUUACACUGAGCAUGUCAUCACUAAAAAGGACUGAUAGGAGAAAAUGCAUCCAAUAUGGAUCAAAGAGAGACAUAGUAAAGACAAACAUGGAGAGGUGUAGAAUGUACCCAAGGGAGGAGGCAGCUUCAGGGUGCAUGGCUUCCCUGAAACAAUAAAAUAAUGCUGGCUAGAGUCAAAAAAGGACUGUUGGUAACUAGGAGUUAUGAGGUAACCCUUUGGCUACACAUGGCCACUAUGCAUGUGCCUCAGCACUAUUGUACUCUAAAUUGAAUCCAUUUUUCCCCUGCAUUCUGUGUAUUUGUGGGAGAUUGUGGUCCAAGAUGUUUUUGGAAGAAAUGGUCGGAGUCAAUUAUUCUUACUAUAACACUUCCUUAAAAAACCCUUUUCUAAAGACAUAUGGAGACUACUGGCUGGUAAUCACUGGGAAGUGUAUCAAUGGUGACUCCCCUAUGACAGUACUUGAAUUGUGGAGGGUGUUUCAUGAGGACUAACACUUCUGGUGCAAGGGUUGCUCAUCCACCUUUGGUGUCCACCAAGCUAAACUGAAGCACACGGUAAUAAACAAAAGUGCAUUGCACAUUUUUACAUGCUAGUAUCAAAGCUAGCAUUCUAACAUAAAAGGAGGACUCUUUUCAGGGCUGCUCAUUCUCUUUCAUUCAUGGGUCCAUCUGGCACUCAACUGUCACCUGUGGCUCCAGAAAGCUGUAGCUUGCACAGCAGCCACAUCACAUGAAAACCACCUUGACAGAUAGACUAAACUAAGCUGGUUGUGGGUCACAAGCUCAUUGGUGGGUUAGGGAAGUGUCUACCCCAAACAUAUGAAGACUUCUCUGAUAGAAUGGACAGAUGAGAACAAUUUGCUCCAAUGGCCUUGAAGGCAGGUUAAGUAGGGACUGUGGAAUGUUUAGAGCUUGGUUACACAAUGAAGAAGCUAAGGUCAUCCCCUUGAUCCCAAGCCAUCAGCAGUCCUCUUGAUUUUUGUCUUGCCCCUGGACUUGAAAUGAUUCUGGAAGACAGAGUGAGGCUGAUGGCUUGGCAAGUCCCCCUCAUGUAAAUCCAGUUCAUGCUCAAUUCAAGCCAUUACCCUAUCAUGUUACUGGUCCACUUUAAACAAAGCAACAAAAAAUUGAGACCCUAAUUUAUGUGUUAUUUUAUAAUCUUGAGGGAAGAAGUAGUCCAUGACCCUCUGGGGACCAAAUCUGCCAAUGCUAGUGAAAGUUGGAGAAUUAGUCCCAGAGGACAUGACAUAUAAAGGACAUUUUAGUGCUAUUAGAAGAUGGAAUAAACUGCAUCAUGAGAAGAGAGUUUCCUAUCACUGAAAAUUUUCAUCAUCAUACAGAUGAACCUUUGGCAGGGAUGUUUGAAAGGGUUGUAACAGAUUACUUCUAAGUUUCUUUUCAACUCUAACAAUGAUUGUCUGAGAAUGAUCACAGAAAAAUCACUGCAUCC